rnacentral:rRNA from 1 species
GUCUUAGCUUGCUAAGACUGAUGGCGACCGGCGCACGGGUGCGUAACGCGUAUGCAACUUGCCUUACAGAGGGGGAUAACCCGUUGAAAGACGGACUAACACCGCAUAUGCUCAGGGGUCUGCAUGGGCCUUUGAGGAAAUAUUUAUAGCUGUAAGAUAGGCAUGCGUCCCAUUAGCUUGUUGGUGAGGUAACGGCUCACCAAGGCAACGAUGGGUAGGGGAACUGAGAGGUUUAUCCCCCACACUGGUACUGAGACACGGACCAGACUUCUACGGGAGGCAGCAGUGAGGAAUAUUGGUCAAUGGGCGAGAGCCUGAACCAGCCAAGUCGCGUGAAGGAUGAAGGCCCUAUGGGUCGUAAACUUCUUUUAUACGGGAAUAACGAGCCUUACGGGUAGGGCGCUGAAUGUACCGUAGGAAUAAGCAUCGGCUAACUCCGUGCCAGCAGCCGCGGUAAUACGGAGGAUGCGAGCGUUAUCCGGAUUUAUUGGGUUUAAAGGGUGCGUAGGUUGCUUGGUAAGUCAGCGGUGAAAACUGAACGCUCAACGUUCAGCGUGCC